CCUCCGAUAGCUCAGUUGGAAGAGCGGUGGACUGUAGCCGAGUCAACAGAAAUCCAUAGGUCGCUGGUUCAAGUCCGGCUCGGAGGA
rfam:Trichinella sp. T9 scaffold72s, whole genome shotgun sequence.